rnacentral:rRNA from 1 species
AUACGGAGGAUGCGAGCGUUAUCCGGAUUUAUUGGGUUUAAAGGGUGCGUAGGCUGUGCGUUAAGUCAGGGGUGAAAUGCCGUCGCUCAACGACGGAGCUGCCCUUGAUACUGGCGUGCUGGAGUACGGAUGCCGUUGGAGGAAUGAGUGGUGUAGCGGUGAAAUGCUUAGAUAUCACUCAGAACACCGAUUGCGAAGGCAUCUGACGAAUCCGUCACUGACGCUGAGGCACGAAAGCGUGGGGAUAGAACAGGAUUAGAUACCCUGGUAUUCCACGCCGUAAACGAUGAUGACUAACCGUCGGCGAUAGACAGCCGGUGGCCAAGCGAAAGCGAUAAGUCAUCCACCUGGGGAGUACGUCGGCAACGAUGAAACUCAAAUGAAUGGACGGGG